CAUCCAGACUCCUACGGGAGGCAGCAGUGAGGAAUAUUGGUCAAUGGUCGGGAGACUGAACCAGCCAAGCCGCGUGAGGGAGGAAGGUACAGAGUAUCGUAAACCUCUUUUGCCGGGGAGCAAAAAGCGGUACGUGUACCGCAUCGAGAGUACCCGGAGAAAAAGCAUCGGCUAACUCCGUGCCAGCAGCCGCGGUAAUACGGAGGAUGCGAGCGUUAUCCGGAUUUAUUGGGUUUAAAGGGUGCGCAGGCGGCGAGUUAAGUCAGCGGUAAAUUUUCGGGGCUCACCCCCGACAAGCCGUUGAAACUGGCUUGCUAGAGUGGGCGAGAAGUAUGCGGAAUGCGUGGUGUAGCGGUGAAAUGCAUAGAUAUCACGCAGAACUCCGAUUGCGAAGGCAGCAUACCGGCGCCCAACUGACGCUCAGGCACGAAAGCGUGGGUAUCGAACAGGAUUAGAUACCCGGGUAUC
rnacentral:rRNA from 1 species